UGUAAACGAUGUCGAUUGGAGGUUGUUCCCUUGAGGAGUGGCUUCCGGAGCUAACGCGUUAAAUCGACCGCCUGGGGAGUACGGCCGCAAGGUUAAAACUCAAAUGAAUUGACGGGGGCCCGCACAAGCGGUGGAGCAUGUGGUUUAAUUCGAUGCAACGCGAAGAACCUUACCUACUCUUGACAUCCAGAGAAUUUAGCAGAGAUGCUUUAGUGCCUUCGGGAACUCUGAGACAGGUGCUGCAUGGCUGUCGUCAGCUCGUGUUGUGAAAUGUUGGGUUAAGUCCCGCAACGAGCGCAACCCUUAUCCUUUGUUGCCAGCACAUUAUGGUGGGAACUCAAAGGAGACUGCCGGUGAUAAACCGGAGGAAGGUGGGGAUGACGUCAAGUCAUCAUGGCCCUUACGAGUAGGGCUACACACGUGCUACAAUGGCGUAUACAAAGAGAAGCGACCUCGCGAGAGCAAGCGGAACUCAUAAAGUACGUCGUAGUCCGGAUUGGAGUCUGCAACUCGACUCCAUGAAGUCGGAAUCGCUAGUAAUCGUAGGUCAGAAUGCUACGGUGAAUACGUUCCCGGGCCUUGUACACACCGCCCGUCACACCAUGGGAGUGGGUUGCAAAAGAAGUAGGUAGCUUAACCUUCGGGAGGGCGCUUACCACUUUGUGAUUCAUGACUGGGGUGAAGUCGUAACAAGGUAACCA
rnacentral:rRNA from 1 species